rfam:Danio rerio chromosome 2, GRCz11 reference primary assembly.
CAAAACAGCCAUAUCACUCUGCAGUCCAAGACCGGUUACUCACUGAAGCUAAGGAGGGCUGAGCCUGGUCACUACCUGGAUGGGAGGCCACAUGGGAAAACUAGGUUGCUGUUGGAA